rnacentral:lncRNA from 1 species
ACAGGUCCUACAACUAAAACUCACGUACCUUUGGCACAAUCCAAUGCAAAAACAGCAAUCUGUGUCCACUGUCAACCGCGACGGCACCUGACAGUCCAAAACAAUCCACAUUCUACUGUAAAAUAAACUCGGCAUUCCAGCACAAGCGUAAUUUCAUUCCACACUAUUCUGAGUAUCCACCACAUACAAACUGCGGUGAUACAAAUGAACCACAGCUCCCAAAGCUAAAUCUAGUAAUUUUUAGAAAGUGACAGUAUAGAAUUUAAUGGUUUUCUCCUAAGUCAAUUCCAAGUCCAAUAUGUAUAAUUCAUCUACAUCACUAACUAUGCUCCAAAUUCAGAUUUCAAAGAACAUGAAAAUCAACAAAUUCGAGCUAUUAAACAUGUUAUGCGAAGCCAAAAAUACAUGCUGUCAACUCUGACUUAGGAGGAAAUCCGACGAUUUUGGUAAACAUUAACCCACCUCAAAAGCUCGUCCAACCGGCGAGAAGUCGAAAGGAGAGGAAAUCACGCGCUCGCCUGGUCUCCAAUGACGCAACCGCGACAUACGCACACUCGAACGGCCCUCCGAAGCGACGUCGAAAAUCUCCCGAGCUCGAGUCGCGACUCCACCACGAGCGUUGACUCAACCUAGAGAGAAAGAUGAAGUAGCAACCAGAGGCUCACUCUCUGCCUCUCUACACGUAUAUGAAGCGGUGGGGAUAAGGG